AGUCGCCACGGUAAAACGGAGGGUGCAAGCGUUAAUCGGAAUUACUGGGCGUAAAGCGCACGCAGGCGGUCUGACAAGUCAGAUGUGAAAUCCCCGGGCUUAACCUGGGAACUGCAUUUGAAACUGUCAGGCUGGAGUCUUGUAGAGGGGGGUGGAAUUCCAGGUGUAGCGGUGAAAUGCGUAGAGAUCUGGAGGAAUACCGGUGGCGAAGGCGGCCCCCUGGACAAAGACUGACGCUCAGGUGCGAAAGCGUGGGGAGCAAACAGGAUUAGAUACCCCGGUAGUCCCUGUCUCUUAUACA
rnacentral:rRNA from 1 species